rnacentral:rRNA from 1 species
UACGUAGGGUGCAAGCAUUAAUCGGAUUUAUUGGGCGUAAAGGGCGCGUAGGCGGACAGGCAAGUCAGCUGUGAAAUCCCCCAGCUCAACUGGGGAACGGCAGUUGAAACUACCUAUCUUGAGGGUAGGCGGAGAGAACGGAAUUCCACGUGUAGCGGUGAAAUGCGUAGAUAUGUGGAAGAACACCGGUGGCGAAAGCGGUUCUCUAGCUUACACCUGACGCUGAGGCGCGAAAGCAAGGGGAGCAAACAGG